rnacentral:misc_RNA from 1 species
UUUCCGUAGGUGAACCUGCGGAAGGAUCAUUAUUGUAUAACCGAGGUGCGAGGGCUGUCGCUGACCAAAUAGGUCGUGCACGCCCGAGUGCGAUCAUACACAUCCAUCUCACCCCUAUGUGCACCACCUCAUGGGUCCCCCUUUGGCUUGUUCGGAGGGGGGCUUACGUUUUCACACAAACUUUGUAUGCAGUGUAGAAUGUAUUUUUUGUUUUUGCGAUCACGCAAUCAAUACAACUUUCAACAACGGAUCUCUUGGCUCUC